AGCCGCGGGUAAUACGUAUGGUGCAAGCGUUAUCCGGAUUUACUGGGUGUAAAGGGUGCGUAGGUGGCAAGGCAAGUCUGAAGUGAAAAUCCGGGGCUCAACCCCGGAACUGCUUUGGAAACUGUUUAGCUGGAGUACAGGAGAGGUAAGUGGAAUUCCUAGUGUAGCGGUGAAAUGCGUAGAUAUUAGGAGGAACACCAGUGGCGAAGGCGACUUACUGGACUGCUACUGACACUGAGGCACGAAAGCGUGGGGAGCAA
rnacentral:rRNA from 1 species